rnacentral:rRNA from 1 species
GGAGUUAGCCGGUGCUUCUUCUGUGAGUGAUGUCCUUCCUGCCGGCUAUUAACCCGCAGGCCUUCUUCCUCACUGAAAGUGCUUUACAACCCGAAGGCCUUCUUCACACACGCGGCAUGGCUGGAUCAGGGUUGCCCCCAUUGUCCAAUAUUCCCCACUGCUGCCUCCCGUAGGAGUCUGGGCCGUGUCUCAGUCCCAGUGUGGCUGAUCAUCCUCUCAGACCAGCUACGGAUCGUCGCCUUGGUGAGCCGUUACCUCACCAACCAGCUAAUCCGACAUAGGCUCAUCCGAUAGCGCGAGGCCCGAAGGUCCCCCGCUUUCCCCCGUAGGGCGUAUGCGGUAUUAGCCUGGGUUUCCCCAGGUUAUCCCCCACUACCGGGCAGAUUCCUAUGCAUUACUCACCCGUCCGCCGCUCGCCACCAGGGAGCAAGCUCCCCGUGCUGCCGCUCGACUUGCAUGUGUUAGCCGUCGCCGCCGACGCGUUCUAUCUGAGCCACGAAUACGAACCCGUACGA